rnacentral:rRNA from 1 species
UACGGAGGGUGCAAGCGUUAUCCGGAUUCACUGGGUUUAAAGGGAGCGUAGGUGGGCUGGUAAGUCAGUGGUGAAAUCCCCGAGCUUAACUUGGGAACUGCCAUUGAUACUAUCAGUCUUGAAUACUGUGGAGGUAAGCGGAAUAUAUCAUGUAGCGGUGAAAUGCUUAGAUAUGAUAUAGAACACCGAUAGCGAAGGCAGCUUACUACGCAGUUAUUGACACUGAGGCUCGAAAGCGUGGGGAUCAAACAGG